CAGCUGAAAGGUGGGGGGAGGGGGAGCGGACGGGGGGAAAGAAACCCGCUGCCGAACGAAACCACUCCUUUCCGCCGCCGCCUCCUCCUUCCCCUUUACUUCCCCCCCUCUUUCUCUCGGCCGCCUCUCUCAACCGCCAACCGCUUCCGAUGGCCGAGGAUGCCGAGAGAAUGGCGGCGCUGAAGCGGGCAUUUGCGGAUGUUAUCUUGAACACGGCGAAGGAGUCGGCGGUUCGGAUUCUGGCCUCGGAGCGGAGGGUGCUCCAGCUGCAGCAGAGUCUGUCGCUCGCCAGGGAAGAGUCACUGGACAUGCUUCUCCGAUUGAAGUCCAUCAUGGACUCCAAGAUUAAUGAAUCGGAAAAGUCCAAUCUAUCUCAGGUAAGGAAAAUUCAAAAACUUGAAGUUCAACUCGGUGAAGCAAAGGGUACAAUAAAUUUUCUUAGAUCUGAACUGAAGAGAUUGAAUUCUGAAUUGGAUCAAAGGAUGGAUAUUCAAGCUGAGUUUCCCGAUGGGAAAAGCACAGGUCACAAUGCCACUUCUGAGAAAUAUAAUUGUAAAGAAAACAUACAUAAUUCUGACUCACACCUGUACUCUAAAAGAGGAGCCAAAAGUGUACCGAAUUCUGACUGCUGCUUCACCAAAGGCGUGACACAAGAUGAACCUUUGAAUAAUUUGAUUGCAGUGGAUAAUUACGCUGGCAACCCUGACUUGGCAUCAAUAAUACUGAGCAACAAAGAGCCAGAGCUUUAUCGAAACGGAUGCACCCAGAGGAUUCGAGCUUUUGAGCGGAAUCAAGUAUCUGGGAAAGAGUUCUCUACACAAAUCCAUGACCAGGUCUCAGACAUAAAGAGUGAAACAAUGAUGUGUGAGAAUGGAAAACCUGAAAGGUCUCACACCAAAGAUUUUGCUAUGGUGAAGAAACCAGUGUGUCAUAGGAAACGAAGAGUGCAUUGUAAAAAGCAUAUUAUGAAGUCCACAGAAUGUGGUUAUCAUGACAUGCGACAUUGUAGAUCCCUGGAGAGUAGUCAUUCUAAGUUUUCUAUGGCAACUGACCAUAUGUCAAACAUAAAGAAUGAAACAAACAUGUGCGAGAAUAAAAAAGCUGAAAGGCCCUGGGCCAUAGAUUUUGGUAUGGCAGAAAAAAUAGUAAGAAGAAAAAUGCGGCGUCAAAAACGCAUGAGGCCUGCUAAAUGUAUUACUUAUCAUGACAUGCAACAUUAUGGACUGCUAGGUAGUAAUCAUUCCAAGGUUGGAGAAAAUGACAAGGAUAGAUCUGCUGGUAAUUCACAGAGGGCUAGCGGUGAAGCACCUCUAAAGACACUGGAUUCUUGUUCACCUCAGAUGUCUGGAGAAAAUCAGGAAACAACAAAAGAUCAAAAGACUAAGUUGAACAAAUUUUCCAAUCAUAGAAUCUCAGGGCUUUUAGAUGGCAAUAGAAUAAUGACAAGGAGAUCUGUUCUGAAACUAUGCAAUACUUGUGAAGAUCAUACUGGUGGAAGCCAUACUUCUGGUAGUGGAGCCACUUUUCAAGAAAAUAGUCUAAAGGAAUCUUUGGUACUAGGUACAAGUGAGGUGAUUGAUGAUGCAGUUUCAGAUGCUGUUAAAAAUGGCACACUGCUACAUGAGAUAAUGUUGUCAAAAGCAGAUGAUAAAUUAGCAGAAGAUUUGGGUACUUCUAUAACAAAAGAGGGUCACGAUGAUUGUAAAGAUGAACCUUUCAAGCCAUGUGGACCUGCUGCUGAAGAUCGAAGUGACAAAAUCCUCAAAUAUACCUUUCAGAGGAAGCGGAAGAGGGUUUCUAUAGAUAGCAAAGUUGACUCUACAUCUUUAGAGGGAAGCAUGUCCAAGCAAACAGUGGAGAAAGAUAAUGCUGUGCUGGACCCUCAGAAAUCUAGCUUACUAGUGGAAUCAUCCAGAGAGAGUAGGAGACUGGCACAGGUUGCUCGACAGUUACGUAGGUGAAUGCAUUAUGACUAGAGGUGCCAUGACAAUUUCAUGUACUGGUGUAAACAAAGCUGAAAUGACCUGAUAGGGGGAUCAUGUUCAGGUGAGUCAAACAAACAUGAUGUUUCUGUUAGACCAAGCUCGAAAAGUGCUUGAUCCUCCAAAGUUCACACUCAGCUUCACCAAAAUCAUCAGGCCUAGUUCAUCUAUUUCGGAGAUUGAAGAAAUGGUUGAUGUUUUAUGGAGGUAGCUAGAACAGAAUCCAAGGACACAAGGGUGAGAAGAGGUGCAUGCAUGGGCAUUGAGAUGGAAGAUGAAGAUGGUAUGGCAUGGUGGCUACAAUGUGAAGAGAAGUGCGAUUACAAGGCAUGACAGAGAAGGCUAAAGAGAGAGAGAACUAUGGCCAAGUUGGUAUAUCACAAGCCCAACAGAAGAGGAGGUAGAGGAGCAAGAGGAACAUGAAAAGAAGAUAAAGUAGAGGAAGACAAGGGGGGAGAGAGGCGUACCUUAUGCUGGAGAGGAGGCAGCGACCCUUACAAGGAGGAGAAAGUGGUGGUGGUGGCAACCCUUACAAGGAGGAGAAAGUGGUGAGUGACGAGUUGGAGGCAGCAGUGGCAAAUUGGUGGGGAGGAAGAGGCGGAGGGGAGAGAGAUAUGAUGCAUGAGAGAAAGAAAGAGACUGUGCAACGAGAAAAAGAAAGGGAAAAGAAAUGAAAAAGAAAAGACAGCUGUCAAGCUAUCGAAAGAAAAAAAGAAAAAGGAAACCUAAUGGUAGGCUUACAAUUUGGUACACCCUGUUUCGAUUGAAAAAAGAGGAUGUUACAUCUGAGACGCUGAUUAUAUCAAGCUGUAAGCCUGGUAUGGAAUGGUACCAGACAAAAAUUUGUGGUCCACGUACCAAUUCACUGUUAGAAUGUUAAAUACUGGUCUGUACCUACCAGUACACUUGAUUUUUAA